rnacentral:rRNA from 1 species
CACUGACAUUAGAUACCCCCGGUAGUCCCAGCCGUAAACUAUGCGCGUUAGGUGUACUGGUGACCACGAGUCACCGGGGUGCCGAAGGGAAACCGUGAAACGUGCCGCCUGGGAAGUACGGUCGCAAGGCUGAAACUUAAAGGAAUUGGCGGGGAGCACCACAACGGGUGGAGCCUGCGGUUUAAUUGGAUUCAACGCCGGACAUCUCACCGGAUAAGACAGCUGAAUGAUUGUCAAUCUGAAGGUUUUACAUGACUAGCUG